rnacentral:rRNA from 1 species
AGAUUAGCUCUCGUAGGUGACCUGCGGAGGGAUCAUUA